rnacentral:rRNA from 1 species
CUACGGGAUGCUCCAGUGAGGAAUAUUGCACAAUGGGGGGAACCCUGAUGCAGCAACGCCGCGUGGAGGAUGACGCAUUUCGGUGUGUAAACUCCUUUUAUAUGUCAAGAAAAUGACGGUAGUAUAUGAAUAAGCACCGGCUAACUCCGUGCCAGCAGCCGCGGUAAUACGGAGGGUGCAAGCGUUACUCGGAAUCACUGGGCGUAAAGGACGCGUAGGCGGGUUGGAAAGUCAGGUGUGAAAUCCUACAGCUUAACUGUAGAACUGCACUUGAAACUUCUAAUAUAGAGUAUGGGAGGGGGAGAUGGAAUUAGUGGUGUAGGGGUAAAAUCCGUAGAUAUCACUAGGAAUACCUAAAGCGAAGGCGAUCUCCUGGAACAUUACUGACGCUAAGGCGUGAAAGCGUGGGGAGCAAACAGGAUUAGAUACCCUUGUAGUC